rnacentral:rRNA from 1 species
AUUGAACGCUGGCGGCAGGCCUAACACAUGCAAGUCGAGCGGAUGAAGGGAGCUUGCUCCUGGAUUCAGCGGCGGACGGGUGAGUAAUGCCUAGGAAUCUGCCUGGUAGUGGGGGAUAACGUCCGGAAACGGGCGCUAAUACCGCAUACGUCCUGCGGGUGAAAGUGGGGGAUCUUCGGACCUCACGCUCUCAGAUGAGCCUAGGUCGGAUUAGCUAGUUGGUGGGGUAAAGGCCUACUAAGGCGACGAUCCGUAACUGGUCUGAGAGGAUGAUCAGUCACACUGGAACUGAGACACGGUCCAGACUCCUACGGGAGGCAGCAGUGGGGAAUAUUGGACAAUGGGCGAAAGCCUGAUCCAGCCAUGCCGCGUGUGUGAAGAAGGUCUUCGGAUUGUAAAGCACUUUAAGUUGGGAGGAAGGGCAGUAAGUUAAUACCUUGCUGUUGUGACGGUACCAACAGAAUAAGCACCGGCUAACUUCGUG